ensembl:lncRNA
UAACAUCACCGUCUGUCUGUCUGUCUGUCUGUCUGUCUGUCAAAACCCCAUCAGUUCACUACGACUCAGAGUGGACAUGAUCAAUAGAUAACAUCACCGUCUGUCUGUCUGUCAAGACCCCGUCUGUCAAGACCCCAUCAGUUCACUACAACUCAAAGUGGACAUGAUCAAUAGAUAACAUCACUGUCUGUCUGUCUGUCAGCGUUGGGCUCAAUUCAGACUUGAGUUAAGAAUACUUCUUGAAUUUGAAUUGAAGUAGUAAACAGAAUACAGAAUUGAAAUUUGAAUUUGAAUGAAAGGAAAUAGAAUUGAAUUCAGUGAAAUUCAAAUGCCUCUUGUAUUGUAUAUUAGGUGUAGUCUAUAACUAUAUAUGUUGAAACAGUAGAUUUUUAGGACAAACUAUCUUCCAAUUAAUUAAUGAUCUAGGACAACAAAUCCUGUAUGCAAAUAUUCUGUUUUCAUUAAUCACUUAUUAAUCACACAUAUAUAUAUAUAUAUACUGUAUACACAAAACAUUAGUUUCACCCCUUUUUUCCCUCAGAACAGCCUCAAUUUGUCGGGGCAGGGACUCUACAAGAUAUCAAAUGUGUUCAUCAGGGAUGCUGGCCCAUGUUGUCACAGGGAUGCUGGCCCAUGUUGUCACAGGGAUGCUGGCCCAUGUUGUCACAGGGAUACUGGCCCAUGUUGACUCCAAUGCUUCCCACAGUUGUGUCAAGUUGGCUUGAUGUCCUUUGGGUGAUGGAUCAUUAUUGAUACACACAGAGAAACUGUUGAAUGUGAAAAACCCAGCAGCGUUGCCGUUCUUAACACAAACCAGUACACCUGGCACCUACCACCAUACACAGUUCAGACACUUAAACAUUUAGUCUUGUCCAUUCACCCUCUGAAUGACACACACAAUCCAUGUCUCAAUUGCCAUUCUUUAACCCGUCUCCUCCCCUUCAUCUACACUGAUUGAAGUGGAUUUAACAGGUGACAUCAAUAAGGGAUCAUAUCUUUCACCUGGAUUCACCUGGUCAGUCUGUGUUUAGGAAAGAGCAGGCGUUCCUAAUGUUUUGUGCACUCCGUGUAUAUUGUAAAUGCUAACUGACAGAGUAAUUGUCCCAUAAGUUUUAAAUGAGGUGUUAACAUUUGGUAUUGUUUGUAAACAUUUAAAUAAAAGCUAUUUAGUUCAGUUUUUAAGUUGUAAUGGGGAGGAUCAGUAGUUCAGAGGGCAGGGUGAUCAGUAGUUCAGAGGGCAGGGUGAUCAGUAGUUCAGAGGGCAGGGUGAUCAGUAGUUCAGAGGGCAGGGUGAUCAGUAGCCAGGGUGAUCAGUGGCCAGGGUGAUCAGUAGUUCAGGGGCAGGGUGAUCAGUAGCCAGGGUGAUCAGUGGCCAGGGUGAUCAGUAGUUCAGAGGGCAGGGUGAUCAGUAGUUCAGAGGGCAGGGUGAUCAGUGGCCAGGGUGAUCAGUAGUUCAGAGGGCAGGGUGAUCAGUAGUUCAGAGGGCAGGGUGAUCAGUGGCCAGGGUGAUCAGUAGUUCAGAGGGCAGGGUGAUCAGUAGUUCAGAGGGCAGGGUGAUCAGUAGCCCAGGGUGAUCAGUGGCCAGGGUGAUCAGUAGUUCAGAGGGCAGGGUGAUCAGUAGUUCAGAGGGCAGGGUGAUCAGUAGUUCAGAGGGCAGGGUGAUCAGUAGUUCAGAGGGCAGGGUGAUCAGUAGUUCAGGGGGCAGGGUGAUCAAUAGUUCUGUGGCCUGGGUGAUCAGUAGUUCAGAGGUCAGGGUGACCAGUGGCCAGGGUGAUCAGUAGUUCAGAGAGCAGGGUGAUCAAUAGUUCAGAGAGCAGGGUGAUCAAUAGUUCUGUGGCCAGGGUGAUCAGUAGUUCUGUGGCCAGGGUGAUCAGUAGUUCAGAGGUCAGGGUGAUCAGUAGUUCAGAGGGCAGGGUGAUCAGUAGUUCUGUGGCCAGGGUGAUCAAUAGUUCUGUGGCCAGGGUGAUCAGUAGUUAGAGGUCAGGGUGAUCGGUAGUUCUGAGGUCGGGGUGAUCGGUGGUUCUGUGGUCAGGAUGAUAGGUAGUUCUGAGGUCAGGGUGAUCGGUAGUUCUGUGGUCAGGAUGAUAGGUAGUUCUGAGGUCAAGUCUGGCCAGGGUGAUCAGUAGUUCUGUGGUCAGGAUGAUCAGUAGUUCUGUGGUCAGGGUGAUCAAUAGUUAUGUGGCCAGUGUGAUCAGUAGUUCAGAGGUCAGGGUGAUCAGUAGUUCAGAGGGCAGGGUGAUCAGUAGUUCUGUGGCCAGGGUGAUCAAUAGUUCUGUGGCCAGGGUGAUCAGUAGUUAGAGGUCAGGGUGAUCGGUAGUUCAGAGGUCAGGAUGGUCGGUAGUUCUGAGGUCAGGGUGAUCAAUAGUUCGGAGGCCAGGGUGAUCGGUAGUUCGGCGGCCGGGAUGAUCAGUCGUUCUGAGGUCAGGGUGAUCAGUAGUUCUGUGGUCAGGGUGAUCAGUAGCCAGGGUGAUCAGUGGCCAGGGUGAUCAGUAGUUAGAGGUCAGGGUGAUCAGUAGUUCUGAGGGCAGGGUGAUCAGUAGUUCUGUGGCCAGGGUGAUCAAUAGUUCUGUGGCCAGGGUGAUCAGUAGUUAGAGGUCAGGGUGAUCAGUAGUUCAGAGGUCAGGGUGAUCGGUAGUUCUGAGGUCGGGGUGAUCGGUAGUUCUGAGGUCAGGAUGGUCGGUAGUUCUGUGGUCAGGAUGGUAGGUAGUUCUGAGGUCAAGUCUGGCCAGGGUGAUCAAUAGUUAUGUGGCCAGGGUGAUCAGUAGUUAUGUGGCCAGGGUGAUCAGUAGUUAUGUGGCCAGGGUGAUCGGUAGUUAUGUGGCCAGGGUGAUUGGUAGUUCAGAGGUCAGGGUGAUUGGUAGUUCAGAGGUCAGGGUGAUUGGUAGUUCAGAGGUCAGGGUGAUUGGUAGUUCAGAGGUCAGGGUGAUUGGUAGUUCAGAGGUCAGGGUGAUUGGUAGUUCAGAGGUCAGGGUGAUUGGUAGUUCAGAGGUCAGGGUGAUUGGUAGUUCAGAGGUCAGGGUGAUUGGUAGUUCAGAGGUCAGGGUGAUUGGUAUUUC